rnacentral:rRNA from 1 species
CCUACGGGUGGCAGCAGUGAGGAAUAUUGGUCAAUGGACGCAAGUCUGAACCAGCCAAGUAGCGUGAAGGAUGACUGCCCUAUGGGUUGUAAACUUCUUUUAUAUGGGAAUAAACCAGGAUAUGCAUACCCUCUUGUAUGUACCAUAUGAAUAAGGAUCGGCUAACUCCGUGCCAGCAGCCGCGGUAAUACGGAGGAUCCGAGCGUUAUCCGGAUUUAUUGGGUUUAAAGGGAGCGUAGGUGGAUUGUUAAGUCAGUUGUGAAAGUUUGCGGCUCAACCGUAAAAUUGCAGUUGAGACUGGUAGUCUGGAGUACAGUAGCGGUGGGCGGAAUGUGUGGUGUAGCGGUGAAAUGCUUAGAGAUCACGAAGAACUCCGAGUGCGAAGGCAGCUCACUGGACUGCAACUGACACUGAUGCUCGAAAGUGUGGGUAUCAAACAGGAUUAGAUACCCGAGUAGUC